GAUGAACGCUGGCGGCGUGCCUAAUACAUGCAAGUAGAACGCUGAAGCUUGGUGCUUGCACCGAGCGGAUGAGUUGCGAACGGGUGAGUAACGCGUAGGUAACCUGCCUCUUAGCGGGGGAUAACUAUUGGAAACGAUAGCUAAUACCGCAUAAAAGUCGCCAUCGCAUGAUGUUGACUUGAAAGGUGCAAUUGCAUCACUAAGAGAUGGACCUGCGUUGUAUUAGCUAGUUGGUGAGGUAACGGCUCACCAAGGCGACGAUACAUAGCCGACCUGCGAGGGUGAUCGGCCACCCUGGGACUGAGACACGGCCCAGACGCCUACGGGAGGCAGCAGUAGGGAAUCUUCGGCAAUGGGGGCAACCCUGACCGAGCAACGCCGCGGGAGUGAAGAAGGUUGUCGGAUCGUAAAGCUCUGUUGUAAGAGAAGAACGAGUGUGAGAGUGGAAAGUUCACACUGUGACGGUAACUUACCAGAAAGGGACGGCUAACUACGUG
rnacentral:rRNA from 1 species